AGAGGAAUAUUGGUCAAUGGGCGAGAGCCUGAACCAGCCAAGUAGCGUGCAGGAAGACGGCCCUAUGGGUUGUAAACUGCUUUUAUGUGGGGAUAAAGUGCGUGACGUGUCAUGCAUUGCAGGUACCACAUGAAUAAGGACCGGCUAAUUCCGUGCCAGCAGCCGCGGUAAUACGGAAGGUCCGGGCGUUAUCCGGAUUUAGUGGGUUUAUAGGGAGCGUAGGCUGUCUAUUAAGCGUGUUGUGAAAUAUACCGGCUCAACCGGUGGCUUGCAGCGCGAACUGGUCGACUUGAGUAUGCAGGAAGUAGGCGGAAUUCAUGGUGUAGCGAUGAAAUGCGUAGAUAUCAUGACGAACUCCGAUUGCGCAGGCAGCUUACUGUAGCAUAACUGACGCUGAUGCUCGAAAGUGCGGGUAUCAAACAGG
rnacentral:rRNA from 1 species